CGGAUCGGGGGGGGGGUUCUUAGCGCACGCAAAAAGUCCUUAUAUUUAUACGCUCAGUAAUUGGGAAUAACGAUUGCCGUGGAUUUUCUUCUGCUGGCAGGCACCCGUCGGCUUUGGAACUUUGUUCCUCAAAAAGCACGUGCCAUCACGGCGAAAAAGGGCAGGGAAAUGUUUUGCGUGCUUUUGAGCAGGGCCUAGUGGCUAAAAGUGGAAGGACGUCCAACGUGCAGGGGGGCUUUAAGAAUAUAGGAUACCGAAUUAUACAACUGCGCCCCCGUUAGGCUGGUGUAUAGGCCACGUUAGUGUAUAUUUUGCAAAAUGAUCCCAACACUUUUAAUUGCUCGCUAUUGCUUAACAUGGUGGCGUAAAAGUAUUAUCUCUCCCCCAUGCUCUCAGUUUCGUUUAUAUAGGCGAUGCUCUGCUCAGACUGGCUGAAUAUAGCUGGAGGGAGUUAUGCUCAUAGCAGAGCAUCUACUGCCAAGGGUGGAACUGGUGGUGGACUUUAGGCUCUCCAGAACAAAUGCUAGUGUCUUCCUUUUCCUCAUGGAAAGAAAACUACAUGAAGGAGCCGUUGCUCUUCGACUAAAGCUGCUGUGAGGAUGCACUAUUUUAAAAUAAAAUAAUAAAAUAAAAAACUAUUGUGUGGCUCUCUGUUGACUUUGAAGCACUGCCUUUGAACUGGUGCAUGGCCGAUUCCAUGGCCUCACCGGCUACGCUACAGUGCAAAAGUAAAGGACUUGCUUAUAACUGGUGCUGCUCAGCUGAAAUCUGAGUGAUUCUUUUAAGGGCAAGUUACAUUUCA